rnacentral:rRNA from 1 species
CAUGGCUCAGAUUGAACGCUGGCGGCAGGCCUAACACAUGCAAGUCGAGCGGUAGAGAGAAGCUUGCUUCUCUUGAGAGCGGCGGACGGGUGAGUAAUGCCUAGGAAUCUGCCUGGUAGUGGGGGAUAACGUUCGGAAACGGACGCUAAUACCGCAUACGUCCUACGGGAGAAAGCAGGGGACCUUCGGGCCUUGCGCUAUCAGAUGAGCCUAGGUCGGAUUAGCUAGUUGGUGAGGUAAUGGCUCACCAAGGCGACGAUCCGUAACUGGUCUGAGAGGAUGAUCAGUCACACUGGAACUGAGACACGGUCCAGACUCCUACGG